rnacentral:lncRNA from 1 species
UAAAUUUCACAAUCAUGGACAAAGAAGUAGCACAUCUUCUUCUUCAAUUUAUUUUUAUAUUGGCUUCAUUCCUUUGUAAAUAAACUAAUGAUUUAGAAUAUCACAAGCACAAUAAAUAAACAUCUGAAAGAAAAUACAUGAGAAUGAAACUAUUCCUGGAGAAAAAGAAGAUAUACAAAAUGUGUUAUUCCCAUCAAAAUAUCUCUCUUCUCCUAAGUGUUUGUGACAUGUUUGGUGCCUUAAUGCAUGAUGUAAGUCAGAACCAAGGCAACCAACAUUAGUACAUAAGCUACAGCUUGGUCAACUGAGGUGCCUGAAAAUUGCAAACAACAAUUUGUUAACUAUGGAUUGGCAUAAAAUGGAAAAAAAAAACAUUUUCCUAUAUUUUAACAACUAUUUGAUAGGAUUGUAUGUCACUACCUUCAUUUAUUUGAUUGAAUUAUUUUCAAAAAAUAUUUGAAACGAACAAAUCAUAAAUCAUCAUGUAUGUAUUGUCAAAAAGUAUAUUUUUUUCUCAAUAUUAUAAACAUUAACAAGAAAAAGUUGAGUGAAUAUUAUGAGAUCUAUUAUAUAAUAAGUGUUGGAAAUCUAGAGUCCAAGUCUUACAUUUGAUAGAAACAAAAAAGUAGAAUAGACCUAUUAAUUCAUUGUUUUAAGGUUUUGGAUGCAGAAGGAUGUCAAUUCUUCAUGUGAUUAAACUUUGUUCUUAUUGGUGUUUAUCUCUCGCGAAUCUUCUCUUCGAUAAAUUAAAUAACAAUAAAAAGAAGAAAAAUGUGAAAGAGAAAAAAUAAUUACCAUCACUUGUAGGAGCAGGAGCCGGAGCAAAUGACUGUGACGAAGCCACUGCCAUAAGAGCUGCCAAAAUGACACAAAGAAAAAGAACCACCCUGGAAAAAGCCAUCGUAUCUGAGUCUCUCUCUCCUUCUCUUUCUCAACCUCAAGAGAGAAAGAAAGGAGAGAGAAAUCCGAUUAACGAAACUGAAAUUCAACUAUGUGUGGGUGCUGAAUAACAAUGUUUCUUCUCUUUCUUU